CGAGUAAGCCGGAUGGACGCAAGCGCAGCCCGCAAGGGCGCGCCUGAGGAAAGUCCGGGCUCCAUAGGGCGGAAUGCCGGCUAACGGCCGGUGAGGGCGACCUUAAGGAUAGUGCCACAGAAACAAACCGCCGGCAUUUGCCGGUAAGGGUGGAACGGUGCGGUAAGAGCGUACCAGCGCCCGGGAGACCGGGCGGCUAGGUAAACCCCAUUCGGAGCAAGACCCUUGAACCUUCCGGUUCACAGAAAAGCGCAGGGCGGCCCGUCCGCUUUUCAUUGCGGUCGCUAAAGCAUGCCGGCAACGGCAUGAUUAGAUAGAUGUUCAUCCAAGACAGAACCCGGCUUAUAGGCUUGCUCGGCAG
rnacentral:RNase_P_RNA from 1 species